rnacentral:rRNA from 1 species
GGGUCAGUAGGUUGGUCGUGCCACCGGUACGUACUGGUCUCACUGAUUCCUCCUUCCUGAAGAACCGUAAUGCCAUUAAUAUGGUGUUGCGGGGAAACAGGACUGUUACUAUGAAAAAAUUAGAGUGUUUAAAGCAAGCUAACGCUUGAAUACAUUAGCAUGGAAUAAUGAAAUAGGACGAUCGAUCCUAUUUUGUUGGUUUCUAGGAUUGACGUA